CAAGAAAUUCCUUUCCAAUCGCAAUACACUCACAUGAUGUUACAUCGCACUCUAACUUUUUCAACGUGCAGCCAUAUUCUAAGGAAACCUCACAAUGGGCUUAUGAGGUUAUUCUUGUUCAAACUACACAAGAAAAAACCCCAAAACACUCACCACAUGAGGUGAAAAGCACUUUGCUGUAACCAGCUAUUUUACAAAAAAAGAGAUCUCAAAAUAUAAAAGAACAACUCAGGAGUUACAGAGUAUUAUGUCAACAUAAAUAUCUCUUUACCCACAUAUGGGCACGAUUCCGAUUACUUUGGCGGCGGGGUAAAAAAAACGAAUUUCCAUAUAAAUGGGAUAUGGGUAACUUCUUCAGAGGAGGAAUAUCCAAAAAUAAUGUAAAAAUAACUAAUAUUUUUUGAAAUAUUCACGUUUAAAAAUUCAAAAAUUUGCACUAAGAAAACAUGUUAUUUCUCUAUGUUUCUCUAAGAUUUUUAACAUUUUCCUCUUGUUAUAUUUAAAUAUACACUUUAAAGAUUGAAAUAAGUUCACAUUUCACUUUUAUUUUGUAAUAUUUUACCUAUAUUUAUUAAUUUAAAAAUCACUUAGAACACUCAUCGUUGCAAAGGCUAGAUUGUUUACAAUUAUGAGGAAAACGAGCGCUGCCACAUCUCAAACACCAAAUUUGUAGGAUUCUUAACGAUUUUUCUUUGUUUGUUCUUUUGCGUGAUUCUUUUUUCUAUAUUAAUUAUAAUAAAAAAUACUUUCCAACAGUUUUCAAGUUAUAAUAUUGAGUUGUGAAAACUUGUUCCAUAUAUGAAUACAUAUAUACUAUACAUAUGUAUGUAUAUGUAUAAUAUGCGAUUUAUGUUUAAUAAAAAUAAAGAAGUAAAAAUCUAUAACAAUAUUGUAAAAUUUAUAUCAUAUCGGGGUGACUGAAGUACUUUCGCGUAGUACUGCUUUCUGCGUU